CCUGUUCUCAAGAAGGAUAUUAUGGCACUAGAAAAAGUGCAGAGGCGGGCUACAAAAUUAAUAAAAGGAAUGGAACAUAUCGGCUAUGAAGAAAGGUUAACAAAUUUAAACCUAUUUAGUUUAGAAAAACGUCGCCUGAGAGGGGAUAUGAUAACAUUAUACAAAUAUAUUCGGGGCCAAUACAAACCAUUGUGUGGAAAUCUAUUUACAAAC